UACAGAGGGUGCGAGCGUUAAUCGGAAUUACUGGGCGUAAAGCGUGCGUAGACGGUUAUUUAAGUCGGGUGUGAAAGCCCCGGGCUCAACCUGGGAAUUGCAUUCGAGACUGAAUAGCUAGGGUACGGUAGAGGGAAGUGGAAUUUCCGGUGUAGCGGUGAAAUGCGUAGAUAUCGGAAGGAACAUCAGUGGCGAAAGCGACUUCCUGGACCAGUACCGACGUUCAGGCACGAAAGCGUGGGGAGCAAACGGG
rnacentral:rRNA from 1 species